GAGUAAAAAGGCGAAGAAGAAAUUAAAAAACGAGAGAAGGGCGCAAUUAUCUGAAAGCGAAAACCCUAGGGUCAACCGUGACGCUACAAUCGCUCUCUCACGUUUCAUUCGCAUUCGGCAUCUUUGCAACGAGAUCAGGUGCUCGUAUUUCAAGAUGGCGGGAACGGAAGCCAAAAACGCCAAAAAAUCUGGUGGUAAGAAGAAAGAGGUGAAGAAGGAGACUGGCUUAGGACUUACGCAUCGGAAGGCUGAAAACUUCGGAGAGUGGUAUUCCGAGGUUGUUGUUAAUGCGGAAAUGAUUGAGUACUAUGAUAUAUCUGGUUGCUACAUUCUCAGGCCUUGGUCAAUGGCGAUAUGGGAGAUCAUGCAUGAGUUUUUUGAUCCCGAAAUUAAGAAAAUGAAGAUCAAGAACUGCUAUUUCCCUUUGUUUGUGUCUCCUGGAGUUUUGCAAAAGGAGAAAGACCACGUUGAGGGAUUCGCUCCAGAGGUUGCUUGGGUGACAAAGUCCGGGGAAUCUGAAUUAGAAAUUCCUAUUGCUAUUCGUCCAACUAGUGAAACUGUCAUGUAUCCUUACUACUCUAAGUGGAUAAGGGGACAUCGGGACUUGCCUUUGAAACUUAAUCAGUGGUGCAAUGUUGUUAGAUGGGAGUUCAGCAAUCCCACACCAUUCAUCAGGAGUCGUGAGUUUCUUUGGCAGGAAGGGCACACUGCUUUUGCAACAAAGGAGGAAGCAGAUGCAGAGGUUCUUGAGAUACUAGAAUUAUAUAGGCGUAUAUAUGAAGAGUAUUUGGCAGUUCCUGUCAUAAAGGGUAAGAAAAGUGAACUUGAGAAGUUUGCUGGUGGACUUUACACUACCAGUGUUGAGGCAUUUAUUCCAAACACUGGUCGUGGUAUACAAGGUGCAACUUCUCACUGUCUGGGCCAAAAUUUUGCUAAAAUGUUUGAGAUAAACUUUGAAAAUGAGAAGGGAGAAAAAGCAAUGGUCUGGCAGAACUCAUGGGCCUACAGUACUCGAACUAUUGGGGUGAUGGUGAUGGUUCAUGGUGAUGAUAAGGGAUUGGUACUACCUCCUAAAGUAGCAUCAGUACAAGUCAUUGUGAUUCCUGUGCCUUACAAAGAUGCUGAUACUCAAGGAAUAUUUGAUGCCUGUACUGCAACUGUGAAUACAUUAUGUGGAGCAGGUAUUCGUGCUGAGUCAGAUUUUAGAGAUAACUACUCUCCUGGAUGGAAGUAUUCUCAUUGGGAAAUGAAAGGUGUUCCUCUAAGAAUUGAAAUUGGGCCGAAGGAUUUAGCAAAUAAGCAGGUUCGUGCUGUUCGACGCGAUAAUGGUGCAAAGAUAGACAUUGCCAGUGCUAAUUUGGUUGAGGAAGUAAACAAUUUGCUUGGUAUUAUUCAGCAGAACCUGUUUGAUGUUGCAAAACAGAAACGGGAUGAAUGCAUUCAGGUCAUACAUACUUGGGAUGAAUUUCUGCAAGCUUUGAACCAAAGAAAAAUGAUCUUAGCUCCUUGGUGUGAUGAGGAGGCUGUGGAAGCAGAUGUCAAAGCAAGGACAAAGGGUGAGAUGGGAGCAGCUAAGACUCUUUGUAGCCCAUUUGAUCAGCCAGAACUCCCAGAAGGCACCAAGUGCUAUGCGUCAGGAAAACCUGCAACAAAGUGGUCAUACUGGGGCAGAAGUUACUAGACUAUUAGCUCUUGAUGGUUGUAUUUUCUGGAGCUAGUUUGAUACCGGAUUUGUGGAUCUCACAAAUAUUAGUUUUUCUUUUCAUGGUAGAAUCACUUUUCAGAUGUGGUGCGGAAUUGUUCGUGGUCCAUCAUAAGUUGUUAAGUCCCAUAGGCGAGAGAGCUUUCAUAUAUGCCGAUGCACGACUGAGUAUUACCACGCAUUUACAUGAUAGUUCCAGCAUGCAUGCAUUGUUACAAUUGGGAGAUAUAAUAUGUAACAUGGCUUCAGAAAUUUGCUAGUGUUUCAUUAUUAAUGACUAUUUGUAAGAGCGGAAUUUGCAUCAAGCACGUCUCACCCACAAAGGAUGUGUCAGGAAAAUGUACCGAAUAAAAAAGAAUGGGGCCAAUAGAAGUAGGCUUCCAUUUUGGCAAAUCAUUGUAUCCAUUUUCUACUUUUCAUUUCACAAAUCAUUUUAUGAUUGUACGUAUGUCAACAUUUAACCAGUUUCUACUUUUCAUAUGCAUAGUUAAUUCUACAACUUCAUUUAGU